GGCUCAGGACGAACGCUGGCGGCGUGCCUAAUACAUGCAAGUCGAGCGGACAGAUGGGAGCUUGCUCCCUGAUGUUAGCGGCGGACGGGUGAGUAACACGUGGGUAACCUGCCUGUAAGACUGGGAUAACUCCGGGAAACCGGGGCUAAUACCGGAUGGUUGUUUGAACCGCAUGGUUCAAACAUAAAAGGUGGCUUCGGCUACCACUUACAGAUGGACCCGCGGCGCAUUAGCUAGUUGGUGAGGUAACGGCUCACCAAGGCGACGAUGCGUAGCCGACCUGAGAGGGUGAUCGGCCACACUGGGACUGAGACACGGCCCAGACUCCUACGGGAGGCAGCAGUAGGGAAUCUUCCGCAAUGGACGAAAGUCUGACGGAGCAACGCCGCGUGAGUGAUGAAGGUUUUCGGAUCGUAAAGCUCUGUUGUUAGGGAAGAACAAGUACCGUUCGAAUAGGGCGGUACCUUGACGGUACCUAACCAGAAAGCCACGGCUAACUACGUGCCAGCAGCCGCGGUAAUACGUAGGUGGCAAGCGUUGUCCGGAAUUAUUGGGCGUAAAGGGCUCGCAGGCGGUUUCUUAAGUCUGAUGUGAAAGCCCCCGGCUCAACCGGGGAGGGUCAUUGGAAACUGGGGAACUUGAGUGCAGAAGAGGAGAGUGGAAUUCCACGUGUAGCGGUGAAAUGCGUAGAGAUGUGGAGGAACACCAGUGGCGAAGGCGACUCUC
rnacentral:rRNA from 1 species